AGAGUUUGAUCAUGGCUCAGAAUCAACGCUGGCGGCGCGCCUAACACAUGCAAGUCGAACGAGAAAGGGGAGCAAUCCCUGAGUACAGUGGCGUACGGGUGAGUAACACGUGGAUGAUCUACCUUCUGGUGAGGAAUAACCCUGGGAAACCGGGGCUAAUACCGCAUAAGCCCGAGAGGGGAAAGUCGCAAGACGCCGGAAGAGGAGUCCGCGGCCGAUUAGCUAGUUGGCAGGGUAAAAGCCUACCAAGGCGAAGAUCGGUAGCCGGCCUGAGAGGGCACACGGCCACACCGGCACUGAAACACGGGCCAGACUCCUACGGGAGGCAGCAGUGGGGAAUCUUGCACAAUGGGGGAAACCCUGAUGCAGCGACGCCGCGUGAGCGAUGAAGCCCUUCGGGGUGUAAAGCUCUUUCGGCAGGGAAGAUGAUGACGGUACCUGCAGAAGCAGCUGCGGCUAACUACGUGCCAGCAGCCGCGGUAAUACGUAGGCAGCAAGCGUUGUUCGGAGUUACUGGGCGUAAAGGGUGUGUAGGCGGUUGUUUAAGUUUGGUGUGAAAUCUCCCGGCUCAACUGGGAGGGUGCGCCGAAUACUGAAUGACUCGAGUGCGGGAGAGGAGAGUGGAAUUCCUGGUGUAGCGGUGAAAUGCGUAGAUAUCAGGAGGAACACCGGUGGUGUAGACGGCUCUCUGGACCGUAACUGACGCUGAGACACGAAAGCGUGGGUAGCAAACAGGAUUAGAUACCCUGGUAGUCCACGCCCUAAACGAUGCAUAUUUGGUGUGGGCAGUUCAGUCUGUCCGUGCCGGAGCUAACGCGUUAAAUAUGCCGCCUGGGGGAGUACAGUCGCAAGCUGAAACUCAAAGAAUUGACGGGGCCCGCACAAGCGGUGGAGCAUGUGGUUCAAUUCGACGCAACGCGAAGAACCUUACCUG
rnacentral:rRNA from 1 species